rnacentral:rRNA from 1 species
CCGGCGCACGGGUGGGUAACACGUAUCCAACCUGCCGUCUACUCUUGGACAGCCUUCUGAAAGGAAGAUUAAUACAAGAUGGCAUCAUGAGUUCACAUGUUCACAUGAUUAAAGGUAUUCCGGUAGACGAUGGGGAUGCGUUCCAUUAGAUAGUAGGCGGGGUAACGGCCCACCUAGUCUUCGAUGGAUAGGGGUCUGAGAGGAAGGUCCCCCACAUUGGAACUGAGACACGGUCCAA